ACAUUUCGGACUCUUGCAGAGUUCACAGCCGCAUUUGGUUCCGUUCUUUUUGUUUUUUUCUUUUUUCUUUUGACAUUUCCCCAACGGCGGCUCUGAGCGGCGUUUUUAAAAAUUACGCUCUGUUUACUUUUUUCACGGCCCAGGAAAGGAGAGGAGAGAUGAGGAGCGCUGAGAAUAAGGGGGAGCGGAGCGUAGAGUAGCCGCUGCCGGCGUCGCAUCAGGUGUUUUCAUUUCGCUGGCCGCCCUCUGUUUUGGUCAGUAUUUCCAUUACGAUAGGGCCACGCAUUGAAGACGGUCUGAUUUUCAUAUGUACUUUAGCGCACAUUUUGCACAAUCGAUAGAGUGGCGGAAAAGCGCCAAAGUUAAAGUGCAAAUGCAAAUGAGUGGGAAUACGGGUCGGAUUCGAUAAGAGCGAAGUGGUUCUAUUCAAUGCCCCAUACAGGCUUGCUAAUCUUAAGUACAAUCUGGACCUGGACACUAUAUUAUAAAUUUAAAUAGAGAUUAAAUGGAGUAGAUAAGUCUAUCAAUGUUCAGGAACUUUUAAUUGAAUAAAGUUUUCUGUCUGCCUUAAUUUGGAAAUAUAAAAUAACACUUUACAGGUACCACGAACUGUAAGCUCUUGCUUAGAUAAUAAUUAAAAGGAAAGAAAAUUAAAUUAAAACUUUAAAUUAAUACAAAUG